ensembl:lncRNA
CAAAGAUUAAUUUUAGAGAAGAUGUUUUGAAGUGGAUGAAAUAUAAUUUUCUUGCUUUUCCAAAUGUGACUGAACAUGCUAGAUUAUCUCUCCUAUGAGUGUAAAGGUCUGAACCACCUGCCCAGAAACACACCCUGUCUGUCAUCAUCACCGUCAGGGGGAAAACACACCCUGUCUGUCAUCAUCACCAUCAGGGGGAAAAUACACCCUGUCUGUCAUCAUCACCAUCAGGGGGAAAAUACACCCUGUCUGUCAUCAUCACCGUCAGGGGAAAACACACCCUGUCUGUCAUCAUCACCGUCAGGGGGAAUAUACACCCUGUUUGUCAUCAUCACCGUCAGGUGAAAACACACCCUGUCUGUCAUCAUCACCGUCAGGGGGAAAAUACACCCUGUCUGCCAUCAUCACCAUCAGGGGGAAAACACACCCCGUCUGUCAUCAUCACCGUCAGGGGGAAAAUACACCCUGUCUGUCAUCAUCACCGUCAGGGGAAAACACACCCUGUCUGUCAUCAUCACCGUCAGGGGGAAAAAACACCCUGUCUGUCAUCAUCACCGUCAGGGGGAAAAUACACCCUGUCUGUCAUCAUCACCAUCAGGGGAAAAACACACCCUGUCUGUCAUCAUCACCGUCAGGGGGAAAAUACACCCUGUCUGUCAUCAUCACUGUCAGGGGGAAGAUUAAUGAAGGAAUGAAGUGAUAAUGCCCCGCCAACAUUGCCCUCAUCCAAUAGGCCAACAUUGCCCUCCUCCAAUAGGCCAACAUUGCCCUCCUCCAAUAGGCCAACAUUGCCCUCAUCCAAUAGGCCAACAUUGCCCUCCUCCAAUAGGCCAACAUUGCCCUCCUCCAAUAGGCCAACAUUGCCCUCCUCCAAUAGGCCAACAUUGCCCUCCUCCAAUAGGCCAACAUUGCCCUCCUCCAAUAGGCCAACAUUGCCCUCAUCCAAUAGGCCAACAUUGCCCUCCUCCAAUAGGCCAACAUUGCCCUCCUCCAAUAGGCCAACAUUGCCCUCAUCCAAUAGGCUACAACCACACUAAAAAUAUCUCAGAGAAAGACUCGAACAACUGAUUAAUGUUAUGACUCAUAGAGGCAGAUCAUUUGUCCAGAAAGUAUGAUAACCAACGCUGCCAAACACAGCAAUCAGUGGCGCCCACAUAUUUAAUGACAAAGAUAUGUGAAAACAUCUGAGUCGGUAGAAAACAUGCCAAGUCAUGCCGGUUUUAUCUGGUUUUUCUAGAGAAGCAUUUUAUUUUAUUUUUUUGGCAGAAGGCUCUUCCCCUUUAAGAAUCCCUUUGGCUAGCUAUCAGUGAUGAUGACCCUAUAUGGGGAAGGCUCUUCCCCUUUAAGAAUCCCUUUGGCUAGCUAUCAGUGAUGAUGACCCUAUAUGGGGAAGGCUCUUCACCUUUAAGAAUCCCUUUGGCUAGCUCUCAGUGAUGAU